CCUACGGGAGGCAGCAGUGGGGAAUAUUGCACAAUGGGCGCAAGCCUGAUGCAGCCAUGCCGCGUGUGUGAAGAAGGCCUUCGGGUUGUAAAGCACUUUCAGCGGGGAGGAAGGCGGUGAGGUUAAUAACCUCAUCGAUUGACGUUACCCGCAGAAGAAGCACCGGCUAACUCCGUGCCAGCAGCCGCGGUAAUACGGAGGGUGCAAGCGUGAAUCGGAAUUACUGGGCGUAAAGCGCACGCAGGCGGUCUGUCAAGUCGGAUGUGAAAUCCCCGGGCUCAACCUGGGAACUGCAUUCGAAACUGGCAGGCUAGAGUCUUGUAGAGGGGGGUAGAAUUCCAGGUGUAGCGGUGAAAUGCGUAGAGAUCUGGAGGAAUACCGGUGGCGAAGGCGGCCCCCUGGACAAAGACUGACGCUCAGGUGCGAAAGCGUGGGGAGCAAACAGGAUUAGAUACCCGUGUAGUC
rnacentral:rRNA from 1 species